UGUAGCUCAGUGGUAGAGUGCUUGCCUAGGAUGCGCGAGGCCCUGGGUUCAAGCCCCAGUA
rnacentral:tRNA from 1 species